rnacentral:rRNA from 1 species
AUUGAACGCUGGCGGCAGGCCUAACACAUGCAAGUCGAGCGGAUGAAGGGGGCUUGCUCCUGGAUUCAGCGGCGGACGGGUGAGUAAUGCCUAGGAAUCUGCCUGGUAGUGGGGGAUAACGUCCGGAAACGGGCGCUAAUACCGCAUACGUCCUGAGGGAGAAAGUGGGGGAUCUUCGGACCUCACGCUAUCAGAUGAGCCUAGGUCGGAUUAGCUAGUUGGUGGGGUAAAGGCCUACCAAGGCGACGAUCCGUAACUGGUCUGAGAGGAUGAUCAGUCACACUGGAACUGAGACACGGUCCAGACUCCUACGGGAGGCAGCAGCGGGGAAUAUUGGACAAUGGGCGAAAGCCUGAUCCAGCCAUGCCGCGUGUGUGAAGAAGGUCCUCGGAUUGUAAAGCACUUUAAGUUGGGAGGAAGGGCAGUAAGUUAAUACCUUGCUGUUUUGACGUUACCAACAGAAUAAGCACCGGCUAACUUCGUG